GCCAUUUACAAAGUCAUCAACGUACGUUGAAGUCUCCAAGUAUUUAGUUAUUGUGUCGUGAAUUACCAAUGUUCCAUUCAUGGAGGACUUCCUCAUUCGUUAGUUUUUCUGUCCAGUUUCAGAAUAUAUUUGAAGAAAAUACAGUCGAAUAUAACCAUUACAGAACACAAUUCGAUAAUAAUAGUGAUAUUUUAAUCAUUAUGAAAGAAACAAUGAAGCCGUCAUCAUACUCAACCUUGCAUUUAAUUAAAAUAGAAGUGUUCGAUUAGGAGUCAUUUGCAAACAUACCGACAGAUCAACAUUGGAAAAAUGCGAAGUUAAAAAUGAAAUAUUACACCAACAAAAACAACAAACAUUUAGACAUCAUAAACAAAAUAAUGUAACAAAAGAAAUUUUACAGACAGAUACUUGUAAAACAAUGUGCUUUAACAAUAAUGACGAGUAACUAACUAAUGAAUGUUAAUUACAAUUUAAUUUAUGGAUAAAUGAUUAGCAAGAUUUUAAUGAGUUAAUCGUUUUUAUUUAUUAUAACAAAAGAUUUUGAAAUGUUUAUUUGAAUCCAGUUGUAUAAGAAGCUCAGCAAAAUUUAUAGCGAAUAUAAUUUACACUUGAAUAGUGUAGCAUAAACUGGAAUAAAAUGGAAUUUACUUGUGUUAGUACAUUUUUCAAUGGCUUUAACUUUGAGUGCAAUGAGAGUAUAAACAAGCUAGAACUGUAAGAAAUAUCUGAAGAAAUGGAGACGUUUCGUGUAGAAAUAGAAAUAGUAAACUCAGAACUAGUCAACACCGAAUAUGAUGAAGAGUUGCACCUUUGUGUUAAUAUUAAAAAACAGUAAUAGUCAACCAUCAUGAAAUUCCAUACAAAUGGAGUGGAGGUUAAAAAUAAAAAUGAACUCAAAAUACUCAAACAAAGAAGUCCAGAGACCGUGUCAAGAAUCAUCAACUUUAGCAGAUAUUGAUAAGGUAUUUUGUAACGUAUGUAAUAUUAGUGCAGAAGGUUUUUUGUAAAUCACACUAAGAGUAAUAUUUUACAAUAAUAUUUUAAAAUUGCAUUGCUCCUUUGCUAAUGUGUCUGUUAUAGUAUGCCUUAAGGCAACCAGUAAUAUCUAAUAAAAUUAAAAGAAAGGAAUAAUUUGAUUUAGAAUUCCAAACACCAGAACAAUUUUUAGAAGCUAUUAAAAGUGUCUCAGUUUUCAUAAUCGAUGAGGAAAUGAAGCAACAUUCUUCUUUAAAGAUAAACUUUGUUUUACAUGCAGAUUUUCUACAAAAAAUUAAACAACUAAUUAAUUUGAUUUUCAAACAAGUAAUUUCAUGAUUUCCAAAGCGGAUGAUAUACAAUUUUUUAUGCUCUCUUUACAUGAUACUUUAGCAAACUUGAUAAUUGGAGACUAAUCUUUUGAUUGAAUCAUGUACUAAAAAUAGAAGUUCUAAAUUUCUAUAAAUUAAAAGUUUCCUUAAAUUUUCGGAUAUAAGUAUUUCUCCUACUUCUUCAUAAUAAAGUUCAGAUAUAUGUAGGUCCAAGGAGCCAGAAAUAAAAUUCCUUCUAUACACAAGCGAUUUAACUUUUAUAUAACUUCAAAAUUAAUUCUUAGAAAUAAUUCGUAGGAGCACACAUAAACUCGUUCAUUUGUCGUCCAUCUUAAUCUUUUUCCAACCGUUCCUCUCUUCACUCCACAUCAGUCUCUUUUCUCGUAUUCCAAUCUAUGAAUACAACAUUCACUUUUAACAUACGUUCCGUUUCAUACCAAUCCCACAUAUAUAUUAUAAAGAUAUCUAGAUUAGUAUUUACAAUUAAAAUAUUAGUUUAAUAGACGGAAGAUUCCAUGAAAAGGACAUCAAACGGCGACAAAUACAGAUAAUGACUUAGUAAUGGAAACUUGGAUGAGAUAGAUAAAUAUAUUAAUAAGAAUAUUAAACAAUAUAAUGAUUCCGAUGGAAACUUGAGUGUCUUAGGUCACGUACACAUAUUAUUAUGUGGCGUGUAUGUAACAUUUCCCCCCUUAGAAUAAAGAUUGUGCUUGAGAACCUGAUUGACCUCUCAGUGUUAAAGUCCUUGUAUAACUUCCCUCGUUUUCCUCUUUGUUUUCCGUUACGCAGGUACUUGUUGCUAUAGUAGUCUUUGGGACGACAACCUGGGUCCUCUAAAGUCGUGAUGUGUUUGCAAAACCGUUGUUGAAUAUUUGUAUACAACCAUUAUCAUGGCUCGGUCUUCGAUUACGCAGGAGUAGUCCGUAAGAACAACGUUUGUUGAUUUUAUAACCGAAAUAUCUAAGAAUUGUUAUAAAUAACACGAAGUAUAUCCAUGUGAACGUUGUCGAAUAUCUUUGUGUGAUCGGUCGAGAUCAUAUAUUCUCUAAAUUUUCCUUAAGUUUAUCUACAUGGUGUUUUAUUUGUUUAAGUGAAUCCAGAGGCACUUCAUUGAUUUUAAUAGGAAUCUGAUUCGGAAUUUCAAUGUUCUUAUACUCUUCAAAACAAUCAUCUGUUCUAAUAUCUGGAACUAUUAUAGGAUAUGCGACAUUUUCUUCGAUAGAUUGGGAGGCUGUCACCGUACUGUACCCAGUAUGAAGUUUGUAGUUUACCGGUAGGGAUAAAAUGCCUGCUCCUUGCAAUUUGUGACGUGUAACUUCCGUUUUACACUGAAGUAUACAGUUAGGUUCUUCUGUGAAUAUAUAAAGCCAUUGGUUGUUGCCGAUAUUUUGAAACGUUAAUUUUUGCUUCAAGCGUAGAUGUAGUGCAAAUUUCAUAUAAGGUUUUUGAAAUUCAUAUCGGGAUCUGGAACUCACAUAGUGGACGUGCUGCUGCUUCAUAUGCGACAAAAUAGAUGCAGAUGUUCUUUUUCACAGUGUACGACUUGCAUGAAAUGAAGUCUCUCGUAGACACGUCUACAUUACCGCUAGGAUUCGUUGCCAAAUACAUGUGCUCAGGCAAGAUGGUUGUGUACAGAGAAGAAUUAGAAUGUUGGAUUGGAAUGGAAUAUAUGUGGUAGGUAUUGAAAGAUUUUCCUUGAAUCAAUGGAAAAUCUAAAGUGUAUACAAGUUUAUCAGAGUACACAUAAGCUGAAAGAGAAGUUGAGUCUAGUAUUGGGUGAAUAUUUUCAACAGUAACUGGAGCAACUAAGUGUUUAUUAGUACGAAUAUGAUUUGAUAAUACAAGUUCUUCAUACAGAUGCUUCAGUGUUAUUACUGAGGGAUGUAUUGUAUUGGGUUUAGUGAAUAAUAUGCUUGCUAAACAAUCAUUGAUUUCAUUUUCUAAGUUUAUUACGGAUUCUAAAAUCUGCAGAGAAAUUGCGGAAAUAUCUUCACUAGCCUUUAGAUUGAAAAUAACUUUUUGACUUGAAUUUACGUAAUCGUUAAGGCGAUUAAUAUUUUCGUUAAUUAUUUGUUCAUCAUAUUAUAUUAUCUUAAAUAUAGUUUCGUUGAAGUUUUUGGUUGUUGAAGAAAUAAUUUGGAUUUAUUCAAGCAUCAAGGAAGAUGAUUCUAUUUCACAUUUUUCUAAUUUAUUAAUGCAAUCAUCAUAUCGCUUUGCGUCAUUAGCGUCAGGAGUACCUAUUAGCCAUUUAAGAAUAGAACUGAGUUCUUCUAACAGUUUUCCUUUUUGUCUAGUAUUCCUAACUAAAUACAUAUUUAAUUCUGAUAAACGAUUCUCUAUUUAUCUAUUUUAUUAAUCGAUUUGCGUGAGCCAACUGGUUCCUGUCGGAUUUAUGAAUUAUAUAAUUUUCACUAAAACCUACAUGUAUUGCGUCGCAUGGCCUUUCCCACUUAUUGUCUAAAUUGUUUGGGUUAGGGACCUUGAUCAUCACCUUGUCAUAACGUUUAAAGGCUUUUCUUUCAUUUUCUGAAUGUUCUGUAUUGCAACAUCGUGGGCUGUUCUAAGUUGUUCGUUUAAGUCUUUAGGUCGUUUAAGUAUUGUUUUUAAUGAAUAGAAAGGUCGUGGUUUAAAACCAACAAGGAGUUCAUAAGGUGUGAAACCUAUAGAGCUAUUGACUAAUGUGUUGUGACAUAUAAUAUCCAGCGGAAUUAUUUGAUUCCAAUUUUGCAGUUUACGUGCUUGGUACAUUCGUAUUUUUGUAAUGUUCGGGUCGUCAGAAGAAAAAAAUCGCCGAUGAAUAUUUAUUAGUUUUAAUGAAGAGUAUAAAAUUCACUUAGACUAGAGAUUAACACUAUGAUGACAGCUACUGAACACUUUGACAAUUGUAGAACAAUUAAACUUCCUAAGGGUGGAAGGUCCUUAUAUAUGCCUACAAACAUUAUGUUAGCAUAGUGACCAUUAGAUAAAUAUCCAAAAUUUACAACACAUUAUUUAAUCAAUAGCAAACAUCCAAUGUUCUGAUGAAAACAAAGCUGUAAUCACUCUAUUUAGUUAUGAUACUUUCUAAUGACGUAUUUAUCAUCUAACAAUAUUCUUUGUUCACUGUUGACUACAAUACGUAAUUAUUCAUCGUUAUAGUAUUUAUCUGUAUAUUACAAUUCUCCCCCGUUAAGAAAAACAAAAAAUUUUCUUUAAAAUUAUGUUUUUUUCAGACAACAUUCAAUACAAAAAUCAUUAAAAUAAUUUUAACAAACAAUUAUUCUUAUUUUUACGUUAAUUAAUCAUUAUAUAGUAUUAACAAUUAACCUUCAAAUUAACAUGGUUUCAUUAUAAUAAUUAAUAAUACAUAUAUUUGGUAAUUAAAAUCUAUUAUUUAUUUUAACAAUUCAACUUACUUUUAAAUGAGCAAUUCUACUGCUUCUUCUUAGCGGUGAUAAAACCGGUUCUUCUGUAGAGGAUAUGUCUUCUAACUCAAUAUCUCUUUCAGUAUCAGUAUUAUUACUAUUGUUAACUCUUAAAGUGAUACAAUUACUAAUUCUAGUACAACAAUUUCGAGAAUCUUUGAGAGCUAACAGUCUACCUCGAUUAGUACAGAAGAAUUUACGUUUAUAAAUAUAUUUUCCAAUACGGUAUAUUAUAUAAGAAAACAUUAUUUUUAUAAUUGAUAUGAAAAUAUAGAUAAAGUACGCGUUAUUUGUUAUCUUAAUAUAAAUUGAUUCGUUUUACAAAUUAGCUAUCAUUUCUUCCACUUUAUUUAUUUUAUAGCUUGCUAUUUUAAGACUUUCUAAAUCUAAUUUAUCAUUAGAUCUUAAAGCUAUAAAUUCAAUUUUUGAUAUAUUUUUAUCUUCUACAACAGUCAUCAUUUACAGUGUCAACAGAAGGUAAUAUAGAAUUAUAUUCACUAAUUAGACCUUUUAUUUCAGUUUGCAAAAUUACGUUCACAGUAUAUAAUUUACAACUAUCGGUGAUUGACAAUAUUCCUGUAUUAAUUAUAUUAAAAUCAAUAGGUUCUUUAUCUUUACAACUUAUGGUUGCGACAGUUUUUCUAGGGAUGACAAAUAACCAUUUGUUGUUAGUAUAUAACUUAUGCCAUUGUUCAUUAGGAAUGUACGUCACUCUAGUAUCACAUUCAUUGGAAACUUUUAUAUUUCCAAAUAUUAAUUGAGUUUCAGAUGUAGGACUUCCAUGAACAGAGUACAAAGGUAUAUACUAUAAUGUUCUAAAUUAUUAAAAUAAGCAUAAUGCAUUUUAUUACCGGAUAUUAUGAAAUAUUUUUCUUUAGGCAAAAUGAAUGUAAAUGUCUUAUCAUUAUUUCUAAUGGGUACAGGAACUACAUUAUACAAUUCAUAAUCAGUUUGCGUUAUUAAAUGUGUUUUAAUUAAAAAUACAAGUUUAUCAUUCGUAUAAUAUGAAACUAAAUCUACUAAGGAUAAUAAUUCAGAAGCUUCGCUAAUUGAAAAACUUAAAGGAUAUUUAGUUUGUAAAGGCAAAUAUAGCACAGUUCUUCUAAGCUCUGUAAUAUAUUGUUCAGGGUGUAAUGCGUUAUUUUUUGAAAACAGGAUUGUAUUUAUGAUAGUUGACACUUCAUUGCUUAUUUUUGUAAUAAUUAAGGUUAACAAUGACAAAUGUUCGUUAAUAUCUUGUUUUAAAUUUAUAUAAAAAAUUAUCGUGUUCACUUUUUUUGUAUAAUUAGAAAGAAUAUCUAAAAUUUUAAUGAAAUUUUUUUUCAUUACAAUAUAGAUAUGUAAGAGUAUUAUAAAAAUUUGAAAGAGUACUUUUAAUGACAUUAGUCUGAGUCUUUAAUAAACUUAAUAUAUCAUGUUCAUGAGAAUCUAAAUUGUAAAUAGCUUCGUCAUAUCGUUCUGCAUCUUCAGAAUCUAAAGUACUAAAAAGAACUUUAAAUAUUUUUCCAACAUCAUCAAUGUAAGAUCAUUUUACUUGAUGAACUAUAUUUGUUCUACCGGUUAAUUUCUUUAAAAUGCUUUCUUGACUAUAAAGUUAAGGGAUAAUUUGAUCUAAUACCGUGAAUGAUGUUUCAGAAAGAGAAAAAUUACUAAACUUUUGAUGAUUAUAUAUUUCCCUAGUUCUACUAUAAGUGUUAUCUAUUAAAUCAAUCUUAUGAUGUAUUUCAGAAAUAUUUAAAUAUAUUCAUAUUCCAUUCGCUAUCGUAGUGGUUGACUUAACCUUUUUUGUUUUGUUUAACGUGUGGAAAUCUUCAGCAAGACCGUCCCACCUGCCGGAGGGAGGGCAGUUGGGGUGUGUGGGAUUCGUACCCACUAAAAACCACACGACGUACCUCCAGGCGCUUAUGUUGGAUCCCGGGUUCCCGUUUGUAUGACUACCGAGUAUCCAACGCGAGUGGUUGACUUUACCUAGAUGUUCAAAUAUGUUCCGCCUUUGUCUAUACUAGUUAUAUUAUAUGAGCUUAACUUACUUGCGUUACAUCCGUAGAUGAUAAUGAGCAUCUUCAAAACUCCAAUCAUAAUGUUCAAUCUAAAACAAUCGCAUGUUUCAGUCUGUUGGUACGAAUGGACCUGAUCAUGGGUUUUUUUCUACACUGAAAUGUUAAAUGUCCUAGCAUAUGACAAUUAGAACAACGCUUUUUUUUAUUUAUUUCAAAAUGUUUUGAGCUCAUUUCAUGACGCAAUUUUAUUUCUUGCUCUUCAGAUAUGACUAUAUAUAUGGCUUCCUCAAAGUUGGGAGGUUUUUGUGAUUUUAAUAAUAUGUGUACUUGGGUUAUGAGACCACUUAUAAAGAUAUCUAGUGUUUGACUUUUUAAUAAAUCUAUAUUUGCUCUCGCGCUUCUUUUGUUAAUUUUGGAUUCAAUGAUUUAAUUAAUUUAAUGAAGCAAUUUUCGACUUUAUUUCAAUAAUUUAAAACUGGCUCAUUAUGUCCUUGUUUACAUGAAUUUAAUUCUAAUUGCCAUUGUACAAACGUUUGUUUUUCAGAAUAAUUUUCUAAUAAAUGUUCUGUCAGAGCAUUCCAUGAAUUAAAUGUUCGAUUUAAUAAUGUUGACCUGAUAUUUUCUUCUGUUUUUGAUAAUACAUCUGACACAAAUGCAAUUCUGUAUAUUGGAUUUAAUAAAUUAUACGCAUUUUUACAAUUAUCAAUAAAAACAUGCAGAUUUGCUUUAUCAUCAUUAUAUCUUUGUAUCAUUCUUUCUGCCAGACUAAUAUCGAUAAAUCCACUAUUUUUUAUUUCUUCUAAAAUAGACAUUUAUACAAAAAUAUUUUAUUUUUAUUACUCUUUAUAAACUUAAUAAUAUUUUAUAAACUUUAAAACUGUUACACAAAUUUUAAAUACACAAUAUAAUUUACUUGUCUAGUUUUAUGUUGCGGAAAUGUUCUUUUUGCUUGUUGCUUCGUUGUAGGGUUUGUAGUCACGCCGUGGUAAAAACUGCCAAAGAAUAACAAUGGACAGCUGGUGCAGUGUUGUGCUGUCUUCUAAGUCUUGGAUGAGUAAAGAUGAAAUAAUCUUGGAGAACUCCAAUUUCAGUCUUCUUAAAUAAAUCUUGGACGAGUAUCGAGGAUAAAUGUGUCUCGACUACUAACUCGAAUUUGAUUCUUACAUCGUUGUGCGUCUUGUUUCUAAAGUAUUUUGUACAAACACGUACCAAUGUAGUUACGAUCUGCUUGUCGAUGCUUCCUUUGUUGACCCGGUGUGUUUUAUUAUUAGGAUACGAAAUUCAUCACUUCUGAUACCAAUUGGUAAUGUUCGGGUCGUCAGAAUAAAAUAUUUCCGAAGAAUAUUUAUAAGUUUUAAUGAAGAGUAUAAAAUUCACUUAGACUAGAGAUGAACACUAUGAUGACAACUACUGAACUGCUUGACAGUUGUAGAACAACAGAUUUCUUAGGGAUGGAAGGUCCUUAUAUAUGACUACAAACAUUAUGUUAGCAUAGUGACGAUUAGAUAAAUAUCCAAAGUUUACAACAACACAUUAUUUAAUCAAUAGCAAACAUUCAAUGUUCUGAUGAAAACAAAGCUGUAAUCACUCUAUUUAGUUAUGAUACUUUCUAAUGACGUAUUUAUCAUCUAACAAUAUUCUUUGUUCACUGUUAACUACAAUACGUAAUUUUUCAUCGUUAUAGUAUUUACCUGUACAUUACACAUACACUUAUUAAUAUGUGGCGUAUAUGUAACACCUCUUCCCUUAGAAUAAAUAUUGGGCUUGAGAGCCUGAUCUCAAGCCCAAUGAUUGACCUCUCGGUGUUAAAGUUCUUGAAUAACUUCCCUAGUUUUUCUCUUCGUCUUCCCUUUCGCAGUUACAUAUUGCUAUAGUAGUCAUCUGGACGGCAGCCUGAGUUCUCUGAUGUCGUGAUGUGUUUACAAAACAGUUGUUGAAUAUUUGUAUACAACCAUUAUCACGGCUCGGUCUUCGGUUAUGUAGGAGUAUUCCGUUAGAAGAACGUUUGCUGAUUUUAUAAAUAAAGUAUCUAAGAAUUGUUAUAAAUAACACGAAGUAUAUCCAUGUGAACGUUGUCACAUAUCUUUGUGGGAUCGGUCGAGAUCUCAUAUUCUCUAAAUUUUCUUUAAACUUGUCUACAUGGUGUUUUGUUUGUUUAAGUGAAUCCAGAGACAUUUCAUUGAUUUUAAUAGGAAUCUGAUUCGGAAUUUCAAUGUUCUUAUACUCUUCAAAACAAUCGUCUGUUCUAAUAUCUAGAACUAUUAUAGGAUAUGUGACAUUUUCUUCGAUAGAUUGGGAGGCUGUCACCGUACUGUACCCAGUAUGAAGUUUGUAGUUUUCCAGUAGGGAUAAUAUGCCUGCUCCUUGCAAUUUAUGACAUUUGACUUCUAUUUUACACUGAAGUAUCCAGUUAGUUUCUUCUGUGAAUAUAUAAAGCCAUUGGUUGUUGUCGAUAUUUUGAAAUAUGUUAAUUUUUGCUUUAAAUGUGGACGUGGUGCAAAUUUCAAAUAAGGUUUUUGAAAUAUAUAACGGGAUCUGGAACUCACAUAGUGGACGUGCUGCUGCUUCAUAUGCGACAAAAUAGAUGCAGAUGUUCUUUUUCACAGUGUACGACUUGCAUGAAAUGAAGUCUCUCGUAGACACGUCUACAUUACCGCUAGGAUUCGUUGCCAAAUACAUGUGCUCAGGCAAGAUAGUUGUGUACAGAGAGGAAUUAGAAUGUUGGAUUGAAAUGGAAUAUAUGUGGUAGGGAUUGAAAGAUUUUCCUUGAAUCAAUGGAAAAUCUAAAAUGUAUACAAGUCUAUCAGAGUACACAUAAGCUGAAAGAGAAGCUGAGUCUAAUAUUGGGUGAAUAUUUUCAACAGUAACUGUAACGAGUAACUAAGUGUUUAUUAGUACGAAUAUGAUUUGAUAAUAAAAGUUUUUCAUACAGAUGCUUCAGUGUUAUUACUGAGGGAUGUAUUGUAUUGGGUUUAGUGAAUAAUAUGCUUGCUAAACAAUCAUUGAUAUCAUUUUCUAAGUUUAUUACGGAUUCUAAUAUCAAUUUGAUGAAAACCGAAUGCUAAAUCUAAAGUUGUGAAAUAUACUGAUUGUCCUAACUUAUCAAGUAUGUCAGUUAUGUUGGGUAGCAGGUAACCGUCUUCUAUAGUGACAUCAUUUAAUUUUAUGUAAUCAAUUACAACGCGCCAUUUUUGUUUUCUAGACGCGUCUAGAUUUUUUAGGAACUACCCAAAUUGAACUGCUCCAUGGAGAAGUGCUAUCUUUUAUAAUAUUCUGUUUUAACAUUUUGUCUUCUUAAUUCUUGCUGGUGUAUUUGAGGAAAUCUAUAUAUUUUAGUAUUUAUUGGUAUAUCUGACGUAGUAAGAAUAGAGUGUUUGGUGUGAUUUGAAUACGUCGGUGGCUCACCUUCCACGUAGAAAAUGUCCGAAUAUUCUGAAACUAUUUUAUCGAGAGAUUCACGCUCUUCUUUGUUUAAAUGAUCAUAUCUUAUAAGGCUACCGAUAUCUUUUCUUUGUUUUAUGCCGGUGUUAUUUAUUUGUGAAUCAGGUAAGGAAAUAGGGUGUUGAAUUAAUUUCGAUUCAUUGACAGAAUUUGCAUUUAUGAUAGGCGUUGAAAUAUAUACUCGUACAUCAUUGUCACUCGAGUUUACACAAUCACAAGGGCAUUAGGAAUACAGAUGUCGUCACCAACGUUUUGUUUAUUUAUUAUUGCAAUUUCGACUGAGAUAUCAUUUGUUAAAGAUGAUAUGAGACAGUAAUAUGAACGACGUUUGAUAUUUUGAUACCAUUAUCAAAGUACUUUGUUUCGUCUCGGAGUUAAUAGUUUUCAUUGAUUGAGUUAAUAAAGUUUCAAUUACCUUUAUAAGAGAUUCGGUGAUUUUUAUAAGGUUAAUCAUCAAUAAUUUAGAAAGCUCUAAGUUGGCCCUAGUAGCCGUCGUGGUUUUAUCAUCACGAGUACACAUAUCGCUUAAUUGUCCCCGAUGGACUGGAAUUGUUUGCGCGUGUAUAGUGAUGUUUGUGUUAUAUUGAUAUUGGUAUUAUAUUGAUUUCGAUAAUGCAACACGACACUGGUUACUGUUAACUUUUAUUGAAGUUGGAGAUCGCUCGUCUGAGGUUCUAGGGUAAUGUCCUAACUCUCGGUGAUCAUCGAGAUAUUGAUGCAAUACGUUGGAACCGUUUACAAAACUGUGCCCGUCAGCUCGACCGGUUGCAAGUUUGAACGACUUACUCGAGCUGGGGCUGGAUUAUUUUGUUAUUCGUGGAAAUUGAAUCUUAUGGCUAUUAUUAAAUAUUUGCUUCCUGCAAUUAGUUAUGUGAUGCCCAGGUUUUUUACAAUAAUAGCAUAUAAUGAACUUUCGCGGAUCAGUAUUAAUAUUUCUGUUAAUCUGGUGGUCUAUAUAUGUAAGGUUGACUGAUCUGAGGUGUUGAUGAACGAUGUUGUUAUAUAAUGUUGUUAUUCGAUUAUUUUUAAACAAACGUUGCCUAGCUGUAUUUAUUUUUUCGGAUUUUUUCUUUCUGGGUUGCAAUUUCCGACCUGAUUCAAUGAAGCAAAACCUUUUGUUUUCAAUAUUACAUCUACGUCAGAACUUAAUCCAUUAAUAAAAACGUUAAGAGCUGUUUCUUCCGUGGUACUUUUCCGUCCUAUUAAUGUUAUGUUACCACUUCAAUUGUAAAUUUUUCUAAGAUUUUAUUCCUACAUAAAUCUACGCGAUGAAAAGAUUCCGUUACCGAUUCAUUCGGUUUCUCAAUGAGUAAUUGUAAUUCUAGAUUUAGAUGUAAAAGAGUUUUUAGCUGCGAAAAUUUCUGUGUAAGAAAAGUUUUUAAAUUGUCCCAGUUUGAAUAAAGUCUCGAGUGAAUAUCGAAGGAAGUACUCCCACUUAUUUUGUUUUAAGCAUAGAUUAAUGAAAUUUCUUCUUACCCUAGACUUGCUAAUUCAAAAGCUGAAUCGCACGAUCUUUUGAACUUAUAUACUUGGCCCGACUGUUGUAUCGAAAUCUGGUAUUAGUUGUAAUAAAGUAUUUAGCGGUACAUUUUGUUCGAAAUAUUUUGGUUUUACGUCAAUGUUUUGCUGUGCCAUAAUGGAUAUUAAAAUUAGAAUAACUGAAUUGGUAAAAUUUGUAUAGUAUUAUAGAUUAUUAAUAAUACAUAGAUAGUAAAUAGAAAAAUUGAACUUGAAUUGGAAUAAUAAGAUUAUUUUAUGAUUUAGGCGAAAAUAGAUUUAUGGAAAGGAAACAGAGCAACAUGUGUUGACCAUUUACCCCAAUAACAGCAACAGAAUACGCAUCGCAGAGUAUUGUUUCGGCGAAGUGUUCAAAGCCCUUCAGGCACCGUCCUAGGUUUGUCGGCGAUGUUUGUCCGGGUCUCAGGCGUUAAGCUCGACUUGCACUAUUACGCUGCGAAUCCUACCGACUGCGCAAAAAUUUUUAUGAAGCAGGGUAAAACACAGUUGAUGUUUCGAAUAAACUCGUAGACUGAAUUGAAUUUUGUUAUUGGAAAUAGUCCAUAUAUAUUACAGAUAUAUCUUAAUUAGUAUUUACCAUUACAAUAUUAGUUGAAUAGACGGCUGCUUCCAUGAAAAGGAUGUCAAACGGCGACAAAUACGGAUAAUGACUACUUAGUAAUGGAAACUUGGAUGAGAUAGACAAAUAUAAAUAUACAAAUGGGAAUAUUAAAAAAUAUAAUGAUUCUGAUGGAAACUUGAGUGUCUUAGGUCACGUACACUUGGAAGUGUAAAACAAAAGAUAAAUACUGAAUAUAACUAUUUAAAAAAGGAGCUUGAUUACUGAAGCUAUUAUAAAGUUUCGCUUUCUACAUUCUGAUAUGUGUUGACCGGAUUUUUACAGUAAUUACACGCAAUGAAUUUUCAUGAAUUAUUUUUAAUUUGGUUACAUGGUUACAUGGUGGUUUAUAUAUGUGGGAUUGACAUUAUUAGCAAAACAACUUUUUAAAAGGAACUUUCUUUAUUUUUCGUCUUCACAAAUAUUCGUCUUUAUAGCUUGUUUUUCUAGAUCGUAAUCACCUCCGUAAUACAAUGAUACAGCCGUAAGGUAAUACAUAUGUACAUCCCUCUCUCUCACACAUAUGUACAUCCCUCUCUUUCACUUGAAGAUGGGAUCAUAUAUGCGUUUAAAAUUACAAUUGUGUUAGGUACAAUAUUUUUUUUUUUUGCAACGAAUAUAGUCUUACAAUUCUGUGGUAGUAUCAUUAUUGUCUGUUGUUGUCGAUGCUCGACAACAACAGACAAUAAUGUUUUUAAAUAAGGUUUGCCUAGCUAGAUUCAUAUUUCUAAUUCUAUCCUCUUGAAUAUCAAAGUGUCCGGCUAAAGAAACGAAACCUUUUGUUCUCAACACGACACCUAUGUCAGAACUCAGUUCAUUAAUAAAUACAUUUAGAGCGAUUUCUUCAGUGGUGCUCUUACUUCCUAUCAAUAUCGCAUAUGUUACUUGAACUGCUAAUUUCUCUAAGGUUUUAUUUCUGCAAAUAUCUACAAGGUGGAAUAAAUCUGUUAUUGAUUCAUUGGGUUUUUGAAAAAGUGAUUGUUAUUAUAUAUUUCAGUAUAAAUAUACAUUAUUUGUUAUCUUAGUGAAAUAGAUUCAUUUCCUACGUCAAUUAUCAUUUCUUCUACUUUCUUUAUUUUAUGGCUAGUUAUAUUAGGCCUUCUGAAUUUAAUUUUUCAUGUGAUACUAAUGGAAUAAAUUCAAUUUGAGUUAUUUUUUUACAUAUUAUAUUAUAAAAGUAUUCUCUGAGAAUAUAUACAAUAAUAUACAGUUAUGAAUAAAGUUCAAUAUUUGUUUUGAAUGAUAAUAAAAUAUUGAAAAGUAUAAAAUUAUUAAACGAAAACAAGUUAUAUUGGAUAAAGUAUUUUAUAUUAGACAAUAUAGUGACUUUAUUAUCAAUAACGGACAGAUGAGACAAGUUCUUAAUAAACGAAAUAAAUGAUAGGUGAUUAAUGGACAAUGCAAUCAAGAGAAAAUGUGUUCCCUUACAACUAUAGAGCCAUUAAAAAUUAUAAUAAAAAUUUGAUAUAUCUAUAAGUUAAGAUUAUCUUGAUGAAAAGUUUAAAAUUUAUAAAUAAAUUUGUAAACAUUGUAAAUUUGUUAAUUAUUGUUUUAAUAAGUAAAACGAGAAAUGUUUCUUUGUUUUAAAUUAAAUCCUGGCUAUAGAUUAAAAUAUUUUGUAACUUAAAUUUCGAAUGCAUAAAUCAAUCAAAUAUUGUACAUAGUUUUAGUUUAGUUUUAUUUGUGUCUGUGAUAUUGUAUAAUAAAUUUUGAAAUGUAUGUAUGUUCUGAAAUCUACAUAUUUAAUAAAAUUAUGUUAUACUUUAUGAAAUAUAAUACUUGUUUUGCACAAAAUACCUUUAUUUCUUAUCCAUACACACGUGUUCCAGAAUGUUUCAUAUUGUACAUCCAUUCCCUGUAAUAGUAGUUGCUUAGAUUAUAUAGAUAGUGUGUCUUCAUAGAAAUGCUUCGAGAAAAAC